GAUAAGAUUAAAUGUGGUGCUGGGCCGUAGCGGAGUGAGCUGCAGUGAUGACCCAGCGAGGGGAGAUGAUGGCCCCUCCACAGACGUGCCUCCCCCUCCACUGCAAGCUGACCUGCCAGCCCCACCUGCCGCUGGCCGCCAUCGUCCCCCCAACAAUACGUCGGCCAUCGUUGGCUUGAGCUGUGCAUUCUGGAGGAUUCUUGGACAGAAAAGAAAAGGGAGUGGGGACACUGCAGUUCACUUUUGCACCACAGGGGAGAGAAGGUUCAACCUCAGAGGGGAAUAACAGGAACUUCACUGAAAGGAAGAGACAAGGAAUAAAAAAGUGGGAGAGUUUGCUUAUAAUAAUUAAAAAAAACACAUUAAGUAAAAAUGUCAACUCCACAAAAAACUCCCAAUAAUAUUUAAUGUCCUCAUUCUUGAAAUAACUGAAAUGUCAUCUUUGUAUGUAAAAUAAUUUUGACCCCAUGGCAUUUUAUUUUGUUAUUAUAUUUACAUUCAUCUGAACACUUCAUAUUAAAUGUUGAAAUUGAAGUCGGACAUUCUUGUUAGUUGAUUUGAAUUUUGUCCUAAUAUUAAUUCUCACUGACGUGUUAUAAGAAGUUCAGUCGGUGCCAAAUCAAAAUAAUAUGAACCAAAAGUAG